CAUCGGAGACUUUUGGACUCAACCU
rnacentral:miRNA from 1 species